rnacentral:rRNA from 1 species
GUAAGCUACUAAGAGCGAAUGGUGGAUGCCUUGACUGGUAAAGGCGAUGAAGGACGUACUAGACUGCGAUAAGCUACGGGGAGCUGUCAAGAAGCUUUGAUCCGUAGAUUUCCGAAUGGGGCAACCCAAUGUAUAGAGAUAUACAUUACCUAUAUAGGAGCGAACGAGGGGAAUUGAAACAUCUUAGUACCCUCAGGAAAAGAAAUCAAUAGAGAUUGCGUCAGUAGCGGCGAGCGAAAGCGCAAGAGGGCAAACCCAGUGCUUGCACUGGGGGUUGUAGGACUGCAAUGUGCAAGAGGUAAGUUUAGCAGAACAUUCUGGAAAGUAUAACCAUAGAGGGUGAUAGUCCCGUAUGCGAAAAACAAACCUUAGCUAGCAGUAUCCUGAGUAGGGCGGGACACGAGGAAUCCUGUCUGAAUCCGGGUCGACCACGAUCCAACCCUAAAUACUAAUACCAGAUCGAUAGUGCACAAGUACCGUGAGGGAAAGGUGAAAAGAACUGAGGUGAUCAGAGUGAAAUAGAACCUGAAACCAUUUGCUUACAAUCAUUCAGAGCCCUAUGUAGCAAUACAGGGUGAUGGACUGCCUUUUGCAUAAUGAGCCUGCGAGUUGUGGUGUCUGGCAAGGUUAAGCAAACGCGAAGCCGUAGCGAAAGCGAGUCUGAAUAGGGCGCUUAGUCAGAUGCUGCAGACCCGAAACGAAGUGAUCUAUCCAUGAGCAAGUUGAAGCUAGUGUAAGAACUAGUGGAGGACUGAACCCAUAGGCGUUGAAAAGCCCUGGGAUGACUUGUGGAUAGGGGUGAAAGGCCAAUCAAACUUCGUGAUAGCUGGUUCUCUCCGAAAUAUAUUUAGGUAUAGCGUUGUGUCGUAAUAUAAGGGGGUAGAGCACUGAAUGGGCUAGGGCAUACACCAAUGUACCAAACCCUAUCAAACUCCGAAUACCUUAUAUGUAAUCACAGCAGUCAGGCGGCGAGUGAUAAAAUCCGUCGUCAAGAGGGAAACAACCCAGACUACCAGCUAAGGUCCCUAAAUCUUACUUAAGUGGAAAACGAUGUGAAGUUACUUAAACAACCAGGAGGUUGGCUUAGAAGCAGCCAUCCUUUAAAGAAAGCGUAAUAGCUCACUGGUCUAGUGAUUUUGCGCGGAAAAUAUAACGGGGCUAAAGUAAGUACCGAAGCUGUAGACUUGCACACAACUUAGAUUAUUUAAGUUUAGAAUAUGAGAAACUAAGUUAUAUGUUUAGUUAUAUUUUUACUGAUUUUUAUAGAGUAAAGAUAGAAAUAAAACUUAGUAAAAUCAGUAAAAAUAUUCUUAGACUAAAGUUAAGUAGUUUAAGUUGUGUGCAAGUGGUAGGAGAGCGUUCUAUUUGCGUCGAAGGUAUACCGGUAAGGAGUGCUGGAGCGAAUAGAAGUGAGCAUGCAGGCAUGAGUAGCGAUAAUUAAUGUGAGAAUCAUUAACGCCGUAAACCCAAGGUUUCCUACGCGAUGCUCGUCAUCGUAGGGUUAGUCGGGUCCUAAGUCGAGUCCGAAAGGGGUAGACGAUGGCAAAUUGGUUAAUAUUCCAAUACCAACAUUAGUGUGCGAUGGAAGGACGCUUAGGGCUAAGGGGGCUAGCGGAUGGAAGUGCUAGUCUAAGGUCGUAGGAGGUUAUACAGGCAAAUCCGUAUAACAAUACUCCGAGAACUGAAAGGCUUUUUGAAGUCUUCGGAUGGAUAGAAGAACCCCUGAUGCCGUCGAGCCAAGAAAAGUUUCUAAGUUUAGCUAAUGUUGCCCGUACCGUAAACCGACACAGGUGGGUGGGAUGAGUAUUCUAAGGCGCGUGGAAGAACUCUCUUUAAGGAACUCUGCAAAAUAGCACCGUAUCUUCGGUAUAAGGUGUGGUUAGCUUUGUAUUAGGAUUUACUCCGAAAGCAAGGAAACUUACAACAAAGAGUCCCUCCCGACUGUUUACCAAAAACACAGCACUCUGCUAACUCGUAAGAGGAUGUAUAGGGUGUGACGCCUGCCCGGUGCUCGAAGGUUAAUUGAUGGGGUUAGCAUUAGCGAAGCUCUUGAUCGAAGCCCGAGUAAACGGCGGCCGUAACUAUAACGGUCCUAAGGUAGCGAAAUUCCUUGUCGGUUAAAUACCGACCUGCAUGAAUGGCGUAACGAGAUGGGAGCUGUCUCAAAGAGGGAUCCAGUGAAAUUGUAGUGGAGGUGAAAAUUCCUCCUACCCGCGGCAAGACGGAAAGACCCCGUGGACCUUUACUACAGCUUGACACUGCUACUUGGAUAAGAAUGUGCAGGAUAGGUGGGAGGCUUUGAGUAUAUGACGCCAGUUGUAUAUGAGCCAUUGUUGAGAUACCACUCUUUCUUAUUUGGGUAGCUAACCAGCUUGAGUUAUCCUCAAGUGGGACAAUGUCUGGUGGGUAGUUUGACUGGGGCGGUCGCCUCCCAAAUAAUAACGGAGGCUUACAAAGGUUGGCUCAGAACGGUUGGAAAUCGUUCGUAGAGUAUAAAGGUAUAAGCCAGCUUAACUGCAAGACAUACAAGUCAAGCAGAGACGAAAGUCGGUCUUAGUGAUCCGGUGGUUCUGUGUGGAAGGGCCAUCGCUCAAAGGAUAAAAGGUACCCCGGGGAUAACAGGCUGAUCUCCCCCAAGAGCUCACAUCGACGGGGAGGUUUGGCACCUCGAUGUCGGCUCAUCGCAUCCUGGGGCUGGAGCAGGUCCCAAGGGUAUGGCUGUUCGCCAUUUAAAGCGGUACGCGAGCUGGGUUCAGAACGUCGUGAGACAGUUCGGUCCCUAUCUGCCGUGGGCGUAAGAAGAUUGAAGAGAUUUGACCCUAGUACGAGAGGACCGGGUUGAACAAACCACUGGUGUAGCUGUUGUUCUGCCAAGAGCAUCGCAGCGUAGCUAAGUUUGGAAAGGAUAAACGCUGAAAGCAUCUAAGCGUGAAGCCAACUCUAAGAUGAAUCUUCUCUAAGCUCUCUAGAAGACUACUAGUUUGAUAGGCUGGGUGUGUAAUGGAUGAAAGUCCUUUAGCUGACCAGUACUAAUAGAGCGUUUGGCUUAUCUUUA